rnacentral:rRNA from 1 species
CGUAGGGGGCGAGCGUUGUCCGGAUUCAUUGGGCGUAAAGCGCGCGUAGGCGGCUCGGAAAGUCGGUCGUGAAAUGCCGGGGCUCAACCCCGGGACUGCGUCCGAUACUUCCGGGCUGGAGGUAGGUAGGGGAGAUCGGAAUUCCUGGUGUAGCGGUGAAAUGCGCAGAUAUCAGGAGGAACACCGGUGGCGAAGGCGGAUCUCUGGGCCUUACCUGACGCUGAGGCGCGAAAGCUAGGGGAGCGAACAGGAUUAGAUACCCUGGUAGUCCUAGCCGUAAACGUUGGGUGCUAGGUGUGGGCGGUCAUCGACCCCGUCCGUGCCGAAGCUAACGCAUUAAGCACCCCGCCUGGGGAGUACGGCCGCAAGGCUA